UACGGAGGAUGCGAGCGUUAUCCGGAUUUAUUGGGUUUAGAGGGUGCGCAGGCGGUCUGUUAAGUCAGCGGUCAAAGCCCGGGGCUCAACCCCGGCCCGCCGUUGAAACUGGCAGUCUCGAGUUGGAGAGAAGUAUGCGGAAUGCGCGGUGUAGCGGUGAAAUGCAUAGAUAUCGCGCAGAACUCCGAUUGCGAAGGCAGCAUGCCGGCUCCACACUGACGCUGAGGCACGAAAGCGUGGGUAUCGAACAGG
rnacentral:rRNA from 1 species